rnacentral:ncRNA from 1 species
UUUUCGGAGAGUUUGAUCCUGGCUCAGAGUGAACGCUGGCGGCGUGGAUUAGGCAUGCAAGUCGAGCGAUCCUUUUUCUUGAGCGGUGAGGCCGCAAGGCCGAACUUGUAAGGGAAAAACGAUAGCGGCAGACUGGUGAGUGACACGUGAGUAAUUUACCCCUAAGCCGGGCAUAGCCUUGCGAAAGCGAGGGUAAUACCCGAUGUGUCCCUCGUUGCACAAGUAGCGAGGGGUAAAGUUGGUCCGUAAGGGUUGAUGCUUAGAGAUGAGCUCGCGUCCUAUCAGCUAGUUGGUAGGGUAAUGGCCUACCAAGGC